CGACUACGAGUUUGAUCCUGGCUCAGGAUGAACGUUGGCGGCGUGCCUAACACAUGCAAGUCGAACGGUAACAGGUCUUCGGAUGCUGACGAGUGGCGAACGGGUGAGUAAUGUAUCGGAACGUGCCCAGUAGUGGGGGAUAACUACUCGAAAGAGUGGCUAAUACCGCAUGAGAACUGAGGUUGAAAGCGGGGGACCUUCGGGCCUCGCGCUACUGGAGCGGCCGAUAUCAGAUUAGGUAGUUGGUGGGGUAAAGGCUUACCAAGCCGACGAUCUGUAGCUGGUCUGAGAGGACGACCAGCCACACUGGGACUGAGACACGGCCCAGACUCCUACGGGAGGCAGCAGUGGGGAAUUUUGGACAAUGGGCGAAAGCCUGAUCCAGCCAUGCCGCGUGAUAGAUGAAGGCCCUCUGGGUUGUAAAUAUCUUUUAUCUGGGAAGAAACACUUCUAUUCUUAGAAGCUUGACGGUACCAGAGGAAUAAGCACCGGCUAACUCCGUG
rnacentral:rRNA from 1 species